AAGAAUCGCCCCCGUUUUUUGAAAUGGGUUCUAUUCCCAAACCGUGUAUACAUACCUUUGUUGCUUUGGCAGGCCGCCUCUCGAGGCGUCGGCUUCGGCUGAUUGCGCCUGCCAGAGGACCCUAACUCGUUUGUUUAGUGAUGUCUGAGUACUAUAUAAUAGUUA
rnacentral:misc_RNA from 1 species